AUGAGGACAGAAGCAGGAGAGCAAGCUGAUAGCAGUAGGAACAAAGGCAUCAGAGCACCAUGCACUUCCCGGAUGAUGGGAGAGGGACAGGAUCACACACUGAAGCGGAGAACCUUAGUAUGUGACGUUAGAGUUAUCCGGAUAAAGCUGGGCCCCGUCACUCACACGACGGUGUGUGAAUCAGACAGCAAGAAAGAUCUGAGGAUGUUUCCAUUAAACUCAGUCCCAGGAAGAACCGGCAGGUGACACUUUGUCUUUACACUUGUCUUGGUUCUUUUUUUUUGUUUCUCUUUUUGAGAAAGGGUUUCGCUAUGCACUUCAAGCUGGCCUUGAAUUCACUCUCAAAAAGACAAAAAAAACCAAAAAAACAGUAAUUUGCAAACAACAGACAUUUCCCACAGUUCUGGAGACUGGCAGGUCCAACUUCAAGACGUCAACUGACUGGACACCUGCUGAGGGCUCUCCACUUCAGGGACUGCAUUUUCUUCUCCCUCUUCAUAGGGCAGGAGUGUGCAAAUUCCCUCGGGUCUUUUUUUUUUUUUUGGUUUUUCUCCGGUACCAGGAACCGAACUCAUGACCUUGCGCUUGCCAGGCAGGCACUUUGCCGCUGAGCUAAAUCCCCAGCCCUCCCUCAGGCCUUUUUAUAAAGGCAUCAUUCCACUGAUCUCCCAAAG
rnacentral:lncRNA from 1 species